ensembl:ncRNA T19E7.27 ncRNA
UGUAGUCGUUUUGUAGUCGUCGUCUUUGGUGCAAGCGGCGAGCGACAAUGCUGGUCUUAUCAGCUUUCGUUGACUUCGUUACGGCCCCCACAGCAGCCUUCUCUUCUAGUUUUUCAUUUAAUUGGUCAAUUUUCUGCGCACGUUAAUUUA